rnacentral:rRNA from 1 species
UCACACAAUAAAACUCACACAUUAAAUGCACCAGUUCUCAUCUGAUCACUGAAGUUAAGCAACGUCAAGCCCAGUGAGAUGGGUGACUGCUUGGGAAACCUCGGUGCUGUAAGCA